GUGGGGAAUAUUGCGCAAUGGGCGAAAGCCUGACGCAGCAACGCCGCGUGAGGGAUGACGGCCUUCGGGUUGUAAACCUCUUUCAGCGGGGACGAAGCGAAAGUGACUGUACCCGCAGAAGAAGCGCCGGCUAACUACGUGCCAGCAGCCGCGGUAAUACGUAGGGCGCAAGCGUUGUCCGGAUUUAUUGGGCGUAAAGAGCUCGUAGGCGGUCUGUCGCGUCGGAUGUGAAAACCCGGAGCUCAACUCCGGGCCUGCAUUCGAUACGGGCAGACUUGAGUACUGCAGGGGAGACUGGAAUUCCUGGUGUAGCGGUGGAAUGCGCAGAUAUCAGGAGGAACACCGGUGGCGAAGGCGGGUCUCUGGGCAGAAACUGACGCUGAGGAGCGAAAGCGUGGGGAGCGAACAGGAUUAGAAACCCCAGUAGUCC
rnacentral:rRNA from 1 species